GAUGAACGCUGACAGAAUGCUUAACACAUGCAAGUCGAACGAGUGGCGGACGGGUGAGUAAUGUCUGGGAAACUGCCUGAUGGAGGGGGAUAACUGCUGGAAACGGUAGCUAAUACCGCAUACCAUCGGAUGUGCCCAGAGGGGAUUAGCUAGUCGGUGGGGUAACGGCUCACCUAGGCGACGCUCCCUAGCUGGUCUGAGAGGAUGACCAGCCACACUGGAACUGAGACACGGUCCAGACUCCUACGGGAGGCAGCAGUGGGGAAUAUUGCACAAUGGGCGCAAGCCUGAUGCAGCCAUGCCGCGUGAAUGAAGAAGGCUUUCGGGUUGUAAAGUACUGUCAGCGGGGAGGCGGUACCCGCAGAAGAAGCACCGGCUAACUCCGUGCCAGCAGCCGCGGUAAUAC
rnacentral:rRNA from 1 species